rnacentral:rRNA from 1 species
AGCUCCAAUAGCGUAUAUUAAAGUUGUUGCGGUUAAAAAGCUCGUAGUUGGAUCUCGGCAGCCAGGGGGCGGUUCGCUCCAAAGCGUGACUGCCCAUUUGGCUGGGGGGUUGGCGGGGGGUCCGGGGGGGUCUUCGGUUGAGGGCCCGGGGCGCCGUCAGGUUUACUUUGAAAAAAUUAGAGUGCUCAAAGCAGGCUUUUCAGGCUUGAAUAUUCGUGCAUGGAAUAAUGGAAUAGGAACUCGUUCCUAUUUUGUUGGUUUUCGGGAAUCGAGUUAAUGAUUAAUAGGGACAAUUGGGGGCAUUAGUAUUCAAACGACAGAGGUGAAAUUCUUGGACCGUUUGAAGACUAACUACUGCGAAAGCAUUUGCCAAGAGUGUUUUCA